UAUUACUAGGUUUAAACAAAAGAAAACAAAGCCUUCCACCCAGUCCUCUCUCAACGCUCGACACUCUCUCGACACGAAACAAAAUCUCAGUCCUCUCUCAUGAACCCUAAAUCUCAGUCCUCUCUCACACUCCUCCUCCACCUUUCUUCCCCGAUAUACCAACCCAAAUCCCUAUAUCUCCUCCUCCUUACUCUCAAAUCCUCAAAUCUCCUCCUCCUCGCCUUCAAAGUAUGGUCAAUUGAAGAGAUGCAGAAGACUAACAGACUGUUCAAGCUCCUUGUCACGAAACUCUAACAGACUAACAUCUCCAUGGCCGCCAACCGCGCUACCAUAUCUUCUCUGCCGUAGUGAAGAAUGACCAUGUCCACUCUCAAAGCCUGAAUCUCCCUCGUCACCGUACUCACCACCCAAGCCUCCUCUGUCUCCCAGUGACAUAUAUGUUCAAAUCCCUUUCCCACAAUCUAAAAUUUUCCUUGAUUUUCAGGUUUAGUUGGUUCCGAUUUGGUUUUAACAUUGGUGUUUUCUUUCUUGUUGUUGCAGUUUUACUUGAUUGGCCACCAAGACAGCCAAGUACGUCUUCCCAAGUAGUUCGAGGCUCGGACUCUCGAGGAAGCUCUCAUGUCAGGUAUUGUUUUUGGGUUGAUUCCGAUUCCAAUUAGGGGAAUCCUAAAUCCCAGUUCCUAUAUAAACUCAGCUCUCUCUCUCUCUCUCUCUCUCUCUCUCUCUCUCUAUAUAUAUAUAUAUAUAUAUAUAUAUAUAUAUAUAUAUAAAACCUGAGUCAGCGUUUCUGCUUUUCCUAGUCUUUGAUCACCGUCUGAAUUUUCUUUCUUCAAUGCCACCGUAGCCAUUAGUUGGGCUUUACUUUACCCUUUUAAAUUCAUCUUGCUAUAUCUGAUUCCUUGCAUAAUUGGGAAUUUAGGGUUUGCUUGUUUCGGUUUAGUGAUAUAAUUGGGAGAAUGGAAGGCCUUAAUAGUGCAAAUCUUCUUGGUGUUUGGUUUUUGUUGCGGUGGUUUCAGUUUUAGCAGUUUGUGGGCCGGCCCUAUAUUGGAGGUUCAAGAAGGGUGUUUAGUUGGGUGAUGCCAAAUCUUCUUGCCUAACUUGCAAUUGUGAUUACCCUCCUCCUUCGUCCCUACUCAAAAUUGCUCCGAGUAACCCUCUUAUCUCUAUGUAAAUGGCCGGGUUUUAAUUUGGUUUAGAUUAUGAAUGUUUGUGUUGUGAUUCUAUGUUUCUGGAAAGUUUGGUUCUUUGUGGAUUGGAAUGAAAUUGAAGGGCACCCAUGUCAUCAGUUUGGGGUUUGGAUCCUUGUUAGUGCUAGUUUUUUUAUUUGGAGCUGCUCAUAUGAUGCCCAAUUCAGAUUUAGAUUUACUGUUUGAUUUAAGUAAAGUUGAGCUCUUGGUAUUGCAUUAUGAAUUUCAAACUAUUUAGCUUAUGAUUGAUUUAUAAUAUUGAAGCCCAGUUCUCUUUUGUAGUUUCUUGUCCAUUUUUUUUAAGUUGAGAAAUGUGCAAUGCUUAGCUUAGGUCCCAUAUCAAUUCUUUCUAUUCAAUUAAGCUGGUGUUUUGGGGAUUAGAUUGUUCACUCUAACUAGAGCGUGGAUUAGAUUCCCUUAAUUAUAUCCUGUGGAAGAAGAAGGAGUUUACAAAAUUUGUCUUUUUUGUGGAAAAGGUGAAUUAAUAUGAAUGUUCCAGUGUAGUCAUUCCUUGUUUAGUUUGAAGUUAAUUGCUGUAUUGUAAUAUUGAUUGCCUGUCUGCUAUUAUGCUUUUUAUGUCCCAGAAAAGAAAAUAUUUUUUGUGCAGUAAUGACAUAGUAUAUGUGACAGAAGCUCAGGUAAAUGAUUAUGGUUAGUGGAACUAGUACGAAUGCUUGCUUUGUGGAAGUUUGGCAGAGAAUUAUUCUGUUGUAUUAUUGGGCAUCUUGGUUGAGUUUUUUUGUUUUGAUGCUUGAUUUGGUAUUCCCUUGUAGUUUAAAGGUAGUCAAACCCCAAACUUUUGAUUUAGGCAUUAUAGGAUGCCCUUUUGAGAAGUAAUUUGCCAUGUAGUGAAAAAGCUAGAUGGGAAUUAAAUCAAAUGUUUCACAUUUAUACGAACGUAUGCAAACACACUUGUGCACAUAUCAUUUAAUAUGGUUACUAUUGAUUUCUAAAGUGAUGUGUACUUGAUAUAUUCUGGAAACAUAUUAUUAGUUCCAUGGGUCACUCAUUAUGAUGAUGACCAGAAAAGUUUCAAUUGAUUUUAAGAAUGCUGUCAUUCAAUGCAGACAUCACAUGUAAUUUACCAUAGGACUUUACCAUAGGACCAAUUUUCUGUCCGUAAAAUUUGGCCGCCUGUUCUGUGUUUGUAGUGUCUAUAAACUGUGUUUCCUAAAAUGAUUUCUCUGGAGCUGCCUGGGUUGUAAGUGGAAGAUAAACUAGGGAAAGAAGAGCUAGGCAGCCUAUCGACUCAUCCUGUAUAGUUUACCCACAGUUUACCACUUUACUAGGCAUGUGCAUAUUAAUGUAAUCAUGAUUUCUUACCAGGUACUUCCAAGAAUUAAUCCAAUGAUAGUUUGUCCUAAAGUUCUUGAAGAUCAGGUAAGUUGCAGCUUUGCGACUUCUAGAUUUGUUUGGUAAUGCACAUUUCUCUAUAAAAAUGUGUUUGACUUUGUCAUGUCUUUAGUAAUUGAUAGAGUAGACUGACAAAUUGAAGAUUUCAUUAGUUAGGGUGAUCUAGUUUUUCCUAUUAGAUCUUUCCUUAGGCUAUGAAAUUAUAGUUAUUCUUUACCAGUUUGGCAAAGGAUUCAUCUAUACCACUGAAGCAAACUGAUUUGUGUAAAAUUUGUGUGCUGAGUUCUAUCUUUAAACUAUUGAUGAUAUAAGAGUAUUGAUGAUAUAGUUUUACAGGAAUUUACAUAUAUAGAAUGUGCUAUCUAGCAACAGGAGUCUAGUGCUUUUCGUUGCCCAUAGUUGAUUAGGUUGGCAGCAAUUUACCCCAAGGGCAAUUUCUUAACACCUUUUGUGGCUUUCUUUCUUACAUUUUUUUUUCCCUAAUGAGAUGGACUAGAUCUUGGAUCCAACUAUUACCUUGUUACUGUAGUUUUCUUUACCUUUUUCUAUCAUUCAAAUGGUUCAUUGUGUAAAUGGCUUUGAUUGCAACCUGACUUAGAAGCAAGUAAAAUAUGUUCAAGAACACAUUCCAAUAUGGGUUUCUCUCCAUUCCAUGCAGCCUUUUGUAUGUCUCGACCUCUUUUGCUCUUGUGUUUUCAGUUUUCAUUUAUCAUACUUGUUGUAAUCUUGAUGCUUAACCUGUGCAUUUUUCUGGAUAAUUAGGAGCAAACAUUUCCAGAUAUAGGAUAAAGAAGAAAUAUGAUGCUGACCUAGCGGCAAAGGCAGCUGCUGUAACUGUCUGGGCAUCCAAGUUGGGUGUGGAUUGCAUUUAGGAGAUGAAUCUAGAGCUAAUGUUGCACAAGAUAAUGAACUUAUCCAUUAGAAUCCUCAAGCAUAUGCUGCACGAGAUGAAAAUUGGAUUGCUCGUAUUGCAGCAUUACUUAUGAGUGAGGAUUGAACACAAUCUUGUAUAGCUUAUGAAAUUAGAAGGCUUAGUUCAAUGAAAUGUUUAAAUGCUUGUAAUGUUGUAUAUGGUGAAUCAAUUGGAGUUUGUUUGAUGUAUCAAAGUUACUUUUAACAUUAAUAUAAAAUUAUUGUUUAUUGGUAAUAA